GUACACGCUGUGACUAGCAUAUCAAUAAGCGGAGGAAAAGAAACUAACAAGGAUUCCCCUAGUAACGGCGAGUGAAGCGGGAAGAGCUCAAAUUUGAAAUCUUAAAGGGUUUCCCUUUACGAAUUGUAGUUUAAAGAAGUGUUUUCUGUUGAGGUUUUGGUAAAAGUUCUUUGGAAUAGGACAUCAUAGAGGGUGAGAAUCCCGUAUUUGACCUUUACUUUCAACUUUGUGAUACACUUUCAAAGAGUCGGAUUGUUUGGGAAUGCAGUCCAAAAUGGGUGGUAAAUUUCAUCUAAAGCUAAAUAUUGGCGAGAGACCGAUAGCGAACAAGUACCGUGAGGGAAAGAUGAAAAGAACUUUGAAAAGAGAGUUAAACAGUACGUGAAAUUGUCAAAAGGGAAGCGUUUGACACCAGUGUUGUUUUUCUGAAAAUCAAUUAAAGAACUGUUUAUGCUAAGUUGUUUAGACUUUAUCAGCUAACUGUUUAGUUUUGAGCUUUUCUUUAAUGCACUUUUCAGUUAACAAGUCAACAUCAAUUUCUUUUGCUGUAAAAAAGCUUGAGGAAGGUGGCUUGAGAUUCGUCUUAAGUGUUUAUAGCCUCUUGCCUAUGCAGUCGGAGAGAUUGAGGUCUGCAGCGUAGAUCCUUCGGGGCUAAAUGCAUUUGUGCUAAGUUAUAGCAUUUUAUAGACAACUUGUUGACUAUGAUUUGUCUUGUAGCUUACUCGCUUAUGUUAUUUUACCUACGCUUAGGAUGUUGAUAUGCAUGACUGAUAU
rnacentral:rRNA from 1 species